rnacentral:rRNA from 1 species
ACGGGAGGCAGCAGUGAGGAAUAUUGGUCAAUGGAGGCAACUCUGAACCAGCCAUCUCGCGUGAAGGAAUACGGCCCUACGGGUCUUAAACUUCUUUUAUAGGGGGAUAAAGUGAGCCACGUGUGGCUUUUUGUAGGUACCCUAUGAAUAAGCAUCGGCUAACUCCGUGCCAGCAGCCGCGGUAAUACGGAGGAUGCAAGCGUUAUCCGGAUUUAUUGGGUUUAAAGGGUGCGUAGGCGGACUGACAAGUCAGGGGUGAAAGCCCGGUGCUCAACACCGGAACUGCCCUUGAUACUGCCAGCCUUGAAUUCGGAUGCCGUGGGAGGAAUGAGUAGUGUAGCGGUGAAAUGCAUAGAUAUUACUCAGAACACCGAUUGCGAAGGCAUCUCACGAAUCCGACAUUGACGCUGAGGCACGAAAGCGUGGGGAUCAAACAGGAUUAGAUACCCUGGUA